GAUGAACGCUGGCGGCGUGCCUAAUACAUGCAAGUCGAACGCGAGAGGAGGGAGCUUGCUCCCUCUGAUCGAGUGGCGGACGGGUGAGUAACACGUAGGCAACCUGCCCAUCAGCCGGGGAUAACUGCGGGAAACCGUGGCUAAUACCGGAUAAUCCUCUCCACCGCGGGGUGGGGAGCUGAAAGACGGUUUCGGCUGUCGCUGAUGGAUGGGCCUGCGGCGCAUUAGCUGGUUGGCGGGGUAACGGCCCACCAAGGCAACGAUGCGUAGCCGACCUGAGAGGGUGAUCGGCCACACUGGGACUGAGACACGGCCCAGACUCCUACGGGAGGCAGCAGUAGGGAAUCUUCCGCAAUGGACGCAAGUCUGACGGAGCAACGCCGCGUGAGUGAAGAAGGGUUUCGGCUCGUAAAACUCUGUUGUUAAGGAAGAACGCCAGGUAGAGUAACUGCUACCUGUGUGACGGUACUUAACCAGAAAGCCACGGCUAACUACGUGCCAGCAGCCGCUGUAA
rnacentral:rRNA from 1 species